UAACCCAUACCGUGAGGUAUUGCUGAACGACCAGAAGUCAGUUUAAGUCAUAGUACUGUUGAUCCUACCGAAAGGAUAGGCUAGGGAAGGAC
rnacentral:ncRNA from 1 species